UGUUGCAUAGUGGUAAGGAGCAGGGCUUGCAACCGAAAGGUUGCUGGUUCGAUUCCCGGUGCAACAC